rnacentral:rRNA from 1 species
UAUUGGACAAUGGGCGAAAGCCUGAUCCAGCAAUGCCGCGUGAGUGAUGAAGGCCCUAGGGUUGUAAAGCUCUUUUACCCGGGAAGAUAAUGACUGUACCGGGAGAAUAAGCUCCGGCUAACUCCGUGCCAGCAGCCGCGGUAAUACGGAGGGAGCUAGCGUUGUUCGGAUAUACUGGGCGUAAAGCGCACGUAGGCGGUUUUUUAAGUCAGAGGUGAAAGCCCGGGGCUCAACCCCGGAAUUGCCUUUGAAACUGGAAAACUUGAAUCUUGGAGAGGUCAGUGGAAUUCCGAGUGUAGAGGUGAAAUUCGUAGAUAUUCGGAAGAACACCAGUGGCGAAGGCGACUGACUGGACAAGUAUUGACGCUGAGGUGCGAAAGCGUGGGGAGCAAACAGG